UAACUCCGUGCCAGCAGCCGCGGUAAUACGGAGGGUGCGAGCGUUAAUCGGAAUUACUGGGCGUAAAGCGCAUGCAGGCGGCCUGUUAAGUCAGAUGUGAAAGCCCGGGGCUUAACCUCGGAAUUGCAUUUGAAACUGGCAGGCUAGAGUCUUGUAGAGGGGGUAGAAUUUCAGGUGUAGCGGUGAAAUGCGUAGAGAUCUGAAGGAAUACCAGUGGCGAAGGCGGCCCCCUGGACAAAGACUGACGCUCAGAUGCGAAAGCGUGGGGAGCAAACAGGAUUAGAUACCCUGGUAG
rnacentral:rRNA from 1 species